AACGCACAUUGCGCCCGCCAGCACUCUGGCGGGCAUGCCUGUUCGAGCGUCAUUUCAACCCUCAAGCCCCCCAGGGGGCCUGGUGUUGGGGACCGGCCCCGCCUCGUCGCGGGUCGCCGCCCCCUAAAAUCAGUGGCGGUCCUGCCGCAGCCUCCUCUGCGUAGUAGCUUAUGAAACCUCGCACCGGAGCGCGGCUCGGCCACGCCGUUAAACCCCAACUUCUGAAAGUUUGACCUCGGAUCAGGUAGGAAUACCCGCUGAACUUAA
rnacentral:misc_RNA from 2 species